rnacentral:rRNA from 1 species
AUUGAGCGCUGGCGGCAGGCCUAACACAUGCAAGUCGAGCGGAUGACGGGAGCUUGCUCCUUGAUUCAGCGGCGGACGGGUGAGUAAUGCCUAGGAAUCUGCCUGGUAGUGGGGGACAACGUUUCGAAAGGAACGCUAAUACCGCAUACGUCCUACGGGAGAAAGCAGGGGACCUUCGGGCCUUGCGCUAUCAGAUGAGCCUAGGUCGGAUUAGCUAGUAGGUGAGGUAAUGGCUCACCUAGGCGACGAUCCGUAACUGGUCUGAGAGGAUGAUCAGUCACCCUGGGACUGAGACACGGUCCAGACUCCUACGGUGGGCAGAAGUGGGGAAUAUUGGACAAUGGGCGAAAGCCUGAUCAAGCCAUGCCGCGUGUGUGAAGAAGGUCUUCGGAUUGUAAAGCACUUUAAGUUGGGAGGAAGGGCAGUAAGUUAAUACCUUGCUGUUUUGACGUUACCGACAGAAUAAGCACCGGCUAACUCUGUGCCAGCCGCCGCGGUAACAC